CAAAAUGGUGAGCGUCCGCAGGACAGAGUACCAGAGAAGAAGGAGCUGCCCGGAGACACAAGCCUGCAGGUAUACAGAAGGUCCCUCCAUGAAGCUUUUCAAAGGACUUGGGAGUGUACUUCUCAGUCCCUGGCCUGUAUCACUGGAAGAUGCUGUUCUUAUGGAAUCAUUCCCAUGAACUGAC